UCUCUCUUGGUAUAUCGGUAGAACACCACCCUGUCAAGCGGGUUACCCGCAGUACGGUGGAGAGCUGGGUUCGACUCCCAGAGGGAGAG